AUCCAGCUGACGAGUCCUAAAUAGGACGAAACGUGCGUCUGAACUGGAU
rnacentral:hammerhead_ribozyme from 1 species